rnacentral:rRNA from 1 species
GACGAACGCUGGCGGCGUGCUUAACACAUGCAAGUCGAACGGAAAGGCCCUGCUUUUGUGGGGUGCUCGAGUGGCGAACGGGUGAGUAACACGUGAGUAACCUGCCCUUGACUUUGGGAUAACUUCAGGAAACUGGGGCUAAUACCGGAUAGGAGCUCCUGCUGCAUGGUGGGGGUUGGAAAGUUUCGGCGGUUGGGGAUGGACUCGCGGCGUAUCAGCUUGUUGGUGGGGUAGUGGCUUACCAAGGCUGUGACGGGUAGCCGACGUGAUUGGGUGAUCGGCCGCCCGGGAGGUGGGCCGCCGUCCUUGGGCCUGCGGGAGGCCCCAGUCGCCAACGUGCGGCAGUGGGCGGAAGCCUUGCGCAGCGGCCGCGCGCCAGUUGCGGCAGUCCUCCGAGCGGAAAGCCGUCUUACGGGUGAUAAACCGCUUUGUCCGUUGCCAAACCGGGAUUGACGGUAAUGGGUAAGAAAGCCCCGGCUAACUACGUG